rnacentral:rRNA from 1 species
AACGAACGCUGGCGGCAGGCCUAACACAUGCAAGUCGAACGCUCCAGCAAUGGAGAGUGGCAGACGGGUGAGUAACGCGUGGGAACCUACCCUUUGGUUCGGAAUAGCCCAGGGAAACUUGGGGUAAUACCGGAUAAGCCCUUCGGGGGAAAGAUUUAUCGCCAAUGGAUGGGCCCGCGUCGGAUUAGCUAGUUGGUGGGGUAACGGCCUACCAAGGCGACGAUCCGUAGCUGGUCUGAGAGGAUGAUCAGCCACACUGGGACUGAGACACGGCCCAGACUCCUACGGGAGGCAGCAGUGGGGAAUAUUGGACAAUGGGCGCAAGCCUGAUCCAGCCAUGCCGCGUGAGUGACGAAGGUCUUCGGAUUGUAAAGCUCUUUUGGCGGGGAAGAUAAUGACGGCACCCGCAGAAUAAGCCCCGGCUAACUUCGUGCCAGCCGCCGCAGUAA